GUUUCAGGAUCUUAUGACGAAGCAGAUUAUUGGUAAAGGUAUGAGUCUGGGGGCCUGUACAUCAUGGACAAGCAGGUGCCAAGAUCUCUUGUGUGCUCCAGUGCUUUAAGUCCUCUCGAAAUUCAUUGUCGGUUGGGCCAUCCUUCCCUAUCUGUCAUGAAGAAGUUAUGUCCACGGUUUCAGUCUUUGUCAGUUUUAAAUUGUGAGUCAUGUCAUUUCGCCAAACACCAUCGUUUAUCUACAGUGUCUCGAGUCAAUAAACGAGGUUCGUUUU
rnacentral:misc_RNA from 1 species